rnacentral:rRNA from 1 species
GUGCCUUCGGGAAUUAGAAUACAGGUGCUGCAUGGCUGUCGUCAGCUCGUGUCGUGAGAUGUUGGGUUAAGUCCCGCAACGAGCGCAACCCUUGUCCUUAGUUACCAGCGGGUUAAGCCGGGAACUCUAAGGAUACUGCCAGUGACAAACUGGAGGAAGGCGGGGACGACGUCAAGUCAUCAUGGCCCUUACGACCAGGGCUACACACGUGCUACAAUGGUAGGUACAGAGGGCAGCUACACAGCGAUGUGAUGCGAAUCUCAAAAAGCCUAU